CGCCCCCUCCCCGCAUGGGCACCACUAUCCCGCCUGCGCAGUGAGCUCGCGCCUCAGGCCAAAAGGCCACAUUUUGGCUAAUACGCGCGCGAACAUGAGCACGAUCGAGGUUCUUUUAGGGGCACUACGCACGCGCAAAAAAAAAAGAAGGGGAACGCGAAGUCAACUAUGGGCAACAGACAUGCGCACUAGAGCGUUCGAUGAGUCUAUGUGGCGGAUGCGUGCACGCGCAAUGGGCAGGCUUAGUCCGUUUCGGGAGUGGCGCAUACGCGAUGGAGGGAUGGGCUAGUUUUGCGAUGAAAUAUUCAGACUCUGUAAUAAUUCCUAGAAAGGUUGCUGUCAGGAUUUUCAGGAAAACUUGUGUCAGAAGGCCCAAAGGAAGAGAGAAAAAAUCAGCCAGGGGAAUUUCAUGGAUUCUUCCUUGAACUGCUCCUACUUGUUUAAAGGUCUUUGUGGACAAUGGAUAGUGGAGUUUUCUCACCCUGUUAUUGGAUUUCCUGUGGAUCGUUGGGUAUGCGUGAGGAAGAGAGCCCCCUUCUGCAUAUAGAAGCCAUCCUGGAGGGAUAGCUGCUGCUGCUCAGUUGCAUCCCCUACCCCCAAUGGCACAAUUUGUCAAUUGAGAGAGUCCACAUACAGCUACAUAAUAGUAAAAAUGUAGGAUACCUGAGGUGAGAAUAAAAUCUCACGUUUUGCACUGAAAUCAAUGGAGUUAUUUCUGAAUUACCCUGGUAUGAGUUCAGAAUUAGACUGCAGAGGGAGGUAAUUUGGUGAUAUGUACUGUGUGAAUUGUCCAUAGAAAUCAAGGAGAUGAGCAGAUGAUGGUUCUGCAGUGCACAGCACUCUGCUACUCCACCCCCUCAGAUCCCCACCUCUGAACUCCAAAGAAGUGAAAUGGAAUGCCUGGACAUCAGUGAAAAUGAUUAAAUUAAUCUCUACUUCAGUCUGUCUGUCAGGUUACUGCAGAAGUAAAUAUUUCAGGGAAUACUGAAAACAUUUUAAUAUUAAUGAUUUCCAGUAUCUGAGAAGUCACUCCUUGCCAAAAUUAUGUAGCUUAUGACUUGCCAAAACAUAUGGAAAUAAUGCUCUUGGGUCACCUGUUGCUGAUACAGCUAUCUAUGAGAAAGGAAGCCCAUUUGGUGUGUAUAAAGUACACUCUGACUAAAUUUAAGACACAUCUACUAGUGACUGAUACUAGGUGAAAUAGGUGCAUACUAAAGAUUCAUUCUUAGUGGUAUCAUCACUUGUUGUUAUAGAAGAGGACUGCAAAGGUUAGGAUUAUGUGGAUAGAACAAAGACAGCCAAUCUAUACAAUAUUUUGUUUGUAUAUUGUGAACAAGUACUUUUCCCAAACUACUGUGAAACACACUUCACAAAAGUUUAAACCUCACCUGUUUCCUAAGGUUUAUCUUUAUUUACAAAGAAACUGACAAUAAUGUUACUUAAAGUGGCGCUCAAGUCUUCACUCCAUGUUUGGCUGCUUCUAAGGUUACUACUACGAGACUGCACAGUCCACACCCUAGAUCCUUAAAGCUGUUUUACCUCCUUAUGUCUGAAUAGGGUAAUAGACAUCUUUGGUGAGUCAGCAAAACCUACUUAAUCUUUUAAAAUCAGAAUCAACACCUGAUUAAGAGGGUGGAGUGUUUCAGGCAAACAUUGCCAGCCUAUUACAUGUAGAUUAUAAUACUAUAAAUGCAAAUACAUAAGAAGCAAGGGACAUGUUAGGCCCAUUGCUCCUUGAGGCAGAAAAGACAAUAAUGGAAAAUGCAGCAAUGCCCGAAGUGUUAAGUGACUUUGUUGGUUUAGGUUUUCACCGGAAAAGUUAGCAGUGGUUGGAUGACUCACAUAGUGAACCCCAGUGUAAAUAGGGUAGGAUGUGAGGCUAAAAUAGGAAAAGAACAAGUUAAGAAUUACUUAGACAAGUUAGAUGUCUUCAGGUCAUCAGGGUCUGAUGAAAUACAUCCUGGAAUACUUAAGGAACUGACUGGACAGAUCUCUGAGCUAUUACCGAUUAUCUUUGAGACUAGUGGAAGAUGGAAGAGAUCCCAGAGGACUGGAGAAGGGCAAAUAUAGUAUGUAUCUUAUAAAAAGGGAAAUAAGGACAACCCAGGGAAUUCUAGACCAAUUAGCAUAACUUUGGUACCUAAAAAGAUAAUGGAGCAAUCAUGAAUCAAUUUGAAAGCCCCUAGAAAAACAUAAGGUGAUAAGAAACAGUCAACAAGGAUUUGCAAAGAGCAAAUCAUGUAAAACCAACCUGAUAGUCUUCAUUGACGGGGCAACAAGCCUUGUGGAUAGGGGGAAGCAGUAGAUGUGAUACAUCUCAGCUUCAGAAAGGCUUUUGAUAAUGUCUCACAUGACCUCAUAAGGAAACUAGGGAAAUAUAGCCUAGAAGAAUCUACCAUAAGGUGGAUGCACAACUAGUUGGAAAAGCAUACUCAGAGUAGUUAUCAAUGGUUCACAAUCAAGCUGGAAUGGCAUA